UACGAAGGGUGCAAGCGUUACUCGGAAUUACUGGGCGUAAAGCGUGCGCAGGCUGUUUUGCAAGUCAGAUGUGAAAUCCCUGAGCUCAACUUAGGAACUGCGUUUGAAACUACAAGACUAGAAUAUGUCAGAGGGGGGUAGAAUUCCACGUGUAGCAGUGAAAUGCGUAGAGAUGUGGAGGAAUAUCAAUGGCGAAGGCAGCCCCCUGGGAUAAUAUUGACGCUCAUGCACGAAAGCGUGGGGAGCAAAC
rnacentral:rRNA from 1 species